rnacentral:rRNA from 1 species
GCACAGGUGCUGCAUGGCUGUCGUCAGCUCGUGUCGUGAGAUGUUGGGUUAAGUCCCGCAACGAGCGCAACCCUACUUGCCAGUUGCUAACAGGAGAGCUGAGCACUCUGGCGAGACUGCCGCCGACAAGGCGGAGGAAGGUGGGGAGUGACGUCAAGUCAUCAUGGCCUUUAUGCCCAGGGCUACACACGUGCUACAAUGGCCGGCACAGACGGCAGCUUAGUGGCGACACUUGGCAAAUCCUCUAAAGCCGGUCCCAGUUCGGAUUGUAGUCUGCAACUCGACUACAUGAAGCCGGAAUCGCUAGUAAUCGCAGAUCAGCCAAGCUGCGGUGAAUACGUUCCCGGGCCUU